GACGAACGCUGGCGGCGUGCCUAAUACAUGCAAGUAGAACGCACAGUUUAUACCGUAGCUUGCUACACCAUAGACUGUGAGUUGCGAACGGGUGAGUAACGCGUAGGUAACCUGCCUGGUAGCGGGGGAUAACUAUUGGAAACGAUAGCUAAUACCGCAUAAUAUUGAUUAUUGCAUGAUAAUUGAUUGAAAGAUGCUAUUGCAUCACUACCAGAUGGACCUGCGUUGUAUUAGCUAGUAGGUGAGGUAACGGCUCACCUAGGCGACGAUACAUAGCCGACCGGGGAGGGGGAACGGCCACACUUGGAAUGAGAAACGGCCCAGAAGCCUACGGGAGGCAGCAGUAGGGAAGCUUCGGCAAGUGACGAAAGGCUGACCGAGCAACGCCGCGUGAGUGAAGAAGGUUUUCGGAUCGUAAAGCUCGGUUGUAAGAGAGGAACGGGUGUGAGAGUGGAAAGUUCACACUGUGACGGUAUCUUACCAGAAAGGGACGGCUAACUACGUG
rnacentral:rRNA from 1 species